UGUUCAAUGUGAUUUUCUAAAAGGUCAUUUCUGGUAAACCCUUGAAGACAAUAAUGACAAAAAUAGGUCUUAUGAUGUGUCUUUUUUGUUCUAGAUAAAAACGUAUCUACGUUACUAAUGAGACAAUAAUGACUUUUCUCACCCAGUUUUAAAUACAAUAAAUUUACAUGGUGACAUACUUGCCGCAAUUUCGUAACAUACAUUGGGAAAAUAUCCUUAUCCUCAUAUCGAAACACAUUCACAGAAAUAUCAUUUUGUCUUUCAAACUUUUCUAUCUGUGAUAUCUUUACGGGAAAAAGAAUUCCAGACAUGUCCAGUUCGCGUUCGUAUGGUAAGUAAUUAGUCACCCGUUCUGGAAUCUCGGAGGUUGGGUGGAGAUGGGCCAAGAUGGACCAUAGAAAGCACUUUUCAUCUUGGUUGAUGAUGUUGAUAACACUGGCAUGAUGAAAUGUUGCAGGCGUCGGUAAGUAUGAAGAACCACUCAAUGGUGAGUAGUUAGCGGUACUUAUUUCCAGUUUUACUAUUUUUUUAAGUCUCCAGUUUGAUCCCUCCCUCAAGUACUCUUGAAAAGAUACAAACAUUUUCUGGUAGGCUUCAUUUAAAUUAUGAAGAGAAAAAGUUUCACUUGGUAAAAAUGUAUAAUUUUUACUUCGAAAAUGAGGAAAGGAUUGCUGUUUGUUUCCUUCUUUAUCCUCCUUUCCAAGUUCUACUUGAAUACAAACAUACCAUUUAAUUCCUCGUAGGGAACGACACUGUUCUGUGAUGUGUUCUGCUACUUCAUCCCUCGUAUUGCUAAAAAAAUGAUUGGGUCCUCUCCUGGUAAUAUCCGAGUGCGAAGUGGUGGCAGUUCUGUCGGACCAUCUAUAAUAUUCAAUUGUGGACUGUGUGGGCUAACAUCAACAAAAAGAUAUCCAUAUCUUUUGGACACGGCAGAAAGAGCUACCUGCUAGCUGUAUCGUUGCAGGGCAGACAAUUGGAAUCAGACUGGUCUGUGACAUGGUUCAAGAAUGAAUGAAAGCAUCGUUUAUUUCAAAAUAGCCCGGAUAUUCAGCAUAGACAAUGCAGCUGAUGGUUUUGGAUAGUGCACUUUCAAAUGUAACCUCCACUCUGACGUUUCCUGGUUUUA